UGGCCACUCCGGUAUCUGAGGGGCUUCAGCCUGCGUUAGGAAGCGUGGGUAGCGAGAACUAGCAGAAGGGCGAAAUGUCACCGAGAAGCCGGGGAGCACACGGGUGCAAGGCGCGAGGCUGGGGAGCGAGCAAUCAGGAAUGGUGCCGGACAUGAAUACAGUGUGGCUUUUGAUGGCUUCUGAUGGACAGUUUGGUGCUGAAGGGGCGGAAGUGGCUGGCAAGAUCCUGAAGUUAAACACCCUGGCUAUGAGCAGGCAGGCAUUACACAGAAUUAGCUGGAAGUUGGAGGGGUGGACUUGAGUCUUUAACAUGUCUGGACAGACCAAUUUUGGGCUUACAGGCCCCUAUCAUGGAUGGCUGGCUUAGGGGAAGACAUGAAAACAGCUGGUUCUCUGAAGUCCGGUGCUGAGUUUGAAGAACUUUAUAUAAAGGUAUGAAGAGUUGGGGCAUCUUACAAGGCCUGGAACGGGGAGUUUAAGCCAAGGUACAGAAAUCUCAAGUUUGGUUUCUAUGGGAAGUGUUAAUUUAAAGCCGAUACAAUGAUGAAACCAUAGUUCAGCAGACUAGCAGUGAUGAGCAAAAUUGUCUUUCGCUCCUAUCUGAUGUAUCUGGCUGCAGCAAUCCUAAAUCCUAUCCAUACCCUUGAAAAAGAAAAUUUAAGACCUUUUUACCACAGGAAAUGUUCAGAUUUGGAUACUAUAGCGGCUCAAACACAAAUAGUUCUAAGGAUUCACAACUGGAGAAAUGCAGUCUGAUCUAUUUUUGCCAGGAAGUUUUUUUUUUUUUUAAGAUUUUUAUUUAUUUAUUUGACAGAGGCAGGCAGAGAGAGAGGAAGAAGCAGGCUCCCUGCUGGGCAGAGAACCUGACGUGGGGCUUGAUCCUAGGACCCUGGGAUCAUGACUUGAGCCGAAGGCAGAGGCUUUAACCCACUGAGCCACCCAGGUGUACCUUGCCAGGAAGUUUUUAUGGCAUAUAAAUCUGAAUAGAUGAGGCCAGGAUGAGUUAUUUAGUUGUACUUAUUUUUUUAAUUAAUAAACUUCAUUUCCAGAGCAGUUUUAGUAUUCCCAGCAAAACUGAAUGUAGAAUUUCUGUGUAUCCUGUCUUCACACACUUAACUAUCAACAUUGGACAUUGGAGUGAGACUGGCUGCGAUUGUUCUCAACAAGGUCCAGAGUUUACAGUAGGAUUUACUCAAGGGUGUUAAUGAUGUAUGGGCCUGGACACUGUAUGACACCUACACAGUUGUCAUAAUGUGUGGAAUGGGUUUGCUGCCCUUUUCUUAGAAAGUUAAAAAUGGGAAAAAUUAAGUAGAACAAAUUUUAAAUGAAGGCCUUUUUUCCCCUCCAUAUUCAAACAGGCCGACUUAACAACCUGAAGAUUUAAAGGGCAGUUAUGAAAGCAGCAGUUCAGUUACGAGAGCAGCUUAACAGUUAAAAGGCACCUGAAUGGAUGCUCAUGGGAUAGAAGAAAUCAUCAAUUUCAAUAAAUUCUUACAAACCAUC